rnacentral:rRNA from 1 species
UACGGGGGGGGCAAGCGUUGUUCGGAAUUACUGGGCGUAAAGGGCUCGUAGGCGGCCAACUAAGUCAGACGUGAAAUCCCUCGGCUUAACCGGGGGAACUGCGUCUGAUACUGGAUGGCUAGAGGUUGGGAGAGGGAUGCGGAAUUCCAGGUGUAGCGGUGAAAUGCGUAGAUAUCUGGAGGAACACCGGUGGCGAAGGCGGCAUCCUGGACCAAUUCUGACGCUGAGGAGCGAAAGCCAGGGGAGCGAACGGG